CCUACGGGAGGCAGCAGUGGGGAAUAUUGCACAAUGGGCGGAAGCCUGAUGCAGCGACGCCGCGUGAGGGAUGAAGGCCUUCGGGUUGUAAACCUCUUUCAGCAGGGACGAAGCGUGAGUGACGGUACCUGCAGAAGAAGCACCGGCUAACUACGUGCCAGCAGCCGCGGUAAUACGUAGGGUGCGAGCGUUGUCCGGAAUUACUGGGCGUAAAGAGUUCGUAGGCGGUUUGUCGCGUCGUUUGUGAAAACCCGGGGCUCAACUUCGGGCUUGCAGGCGAUACGGGCAGACUUGAGUGUUUCAGGGGAGACUGGAAUUCCUGGUGUAGCGGUGAAAUGCGCAGAUAUCAGGAGGAACACCGGUGGCGAAGGCGGGUCUCUGGGAACAACUGACGCUGAGGAACGAAAGCGUGGGUAGCAAACAGGAUUAGAUACCCUGGUAGUCCACGCCGUAAACGGUGGGCGCUAGGUGUGGGUUCCUUCCACGGGAUCUGUGCCGUAGCUAACGCAUUAGCGCCCGCUGGGAGACGCGCGAGACGUAAACGUAAAGUAAGUAGACGGCGNGAAGACGUGCGAGACGACGACGAGGGAGGAGG
rnacentral:rRNA from 1 species